rnacentral:rRNA from 1 species
UACGUAGGGUGCGAGCGUUGUCCGGAAUUAUUGGGCGUAAAGAGCUCGUAGGCGGUUUGUCGCGUCGGAUGUGAAAGCCCGGGGCUUAACCCCGGGUCUGCAUUCGAUACGGGCAGACUAGAGUUCGGUAGGGGAGAUCGGAAUUCCUGGUGUAGCGGUGAAAUGCGCAGAUAUCAGGAGGAACACCGGUGGCGAAGGCGGCCAUCUGGGACAACACUGACGCUGAAGCACGAAAGCGUGGGGAGCAAACAGG